AGCCUUUCGUGAGGUGACUAGAGUGUGAAUGACCAUUUGAAGAGUCUUUCGAUCCAGAAUAGGAAAGUUAACUAAGGGAAGGCAAAUGUCAAGAACUAUGUUUUGUCUUGUUAUGUUUGCCACUGGACAAAAUCUGUUCCAGAUGGCUUGCUGCAGCAGCUGAAUUCCCCUUUGCAACUUUCAGACACAGUGCCAAUGGAUUUUAUUACUGCUCUAUCUCUGAAAAAGAAGUGACUUAUAGUUUCUAUCCAAAUGAAACUCUUGCAUCUGACGUUUUUCAUAAUCCAGACUUCUUGUGGGAGAGGCAAACUAUACAGCAUCUCUUAAAGAACAGCUAGAUUUCGUAAAGGUUACAUACAGAAUUAGAUAGCUCUCCCAGAAAUGGAAGAAGCACUGGAGAAGACAAAAGUGGAUUGCUAGAUUAAUGUCAUGGUUAAAAAUGGAAAUGGCUUGGAAAAUGUUGCAACUGAAUCUUGAGGUAAAGCCUUUGGAAAGCCUUGAGCAUGAUAAUAAAAUUAAGGGACAUAUUCAUGCACAAUACCAUCCACCUUUAGGAAGAAAGUGAGAUAUAAACCAUAUUUCAGAGACAUUGAAGAAUUUCUGAACAGCAAAUUGUCUAUCUUGUUAGGCUGACAUAUACAGAAGAGGAAAAACAAUCAGGAACAUCUUACUUUUCUGAAGCUGUAAUAUAAACCCCAGGUUUUCCUACUCAAAUUAUUCAAUUUCCUGAAGCAUGGCCAAAUUUUGUCAUGAAAUAGAUACAGUUCCACCUAAUCUGAAAUUUGGAGAAGAAAAUAUUCUCAAAACCAGUAGCACAUCAGUCAACAUAUGAAGAAAUAAAUAUGUUAAUAUUAACAACAAAAACAAUCUUUGCCAUUAACAGCUAGGAUGAAACUUGGCUGGCCAAGGAAUUAUGCAUAGCAGCAAAAGCGUACAACAUCUUGAAGAAAAUAAGUGAGGCUUAUAUGUUACCAGAUGUAGUGGGUGUUUUUUCACAGAAAAGUUUAAUGAGGAUCUUACUACAAUUAGGUUUGAAAAGUUGAAUAUAUAUAUUUGCUGAAUUGCUUAUUUGCAUAUUACAAAUGUUUCUUUACCAUUUUCUUUUUGACAUGUGCAAGCAGCAGAUGUUAAUAAAUAGUACAAGCAGCUUGA